GAGGAAUAUUGGUCAAUGGACGCAAGUCUGAACCAGCCACGUCGCGUGAAGGAAGACGGCCCUACGGGUUGUAAACUUCUUUUAUACGGGAAUAAAGUGCCCCACGCGUGGGGUUUUGCAAGUACCGUACGAAUAAGGAUCGGCUAACUCCGUGCCAGCAGCCGCGGUAAUACGUAGGUGGCGAGCGUUGUCCGGAAUUACUGGGCGUAAAGGGCGCGUAGGCGGCUCUUUAAGUUAGAUGUGAAAACCCAGGGCUCAACCCUGGGAGUGCAUUUAAAACUGAAGGGCUCGAGUGCAGGAGAGGUAAGUGGAAUUCCUAGUGUAGCGGUGAAAUGCGUAGAUAUUAGGAGGAACACCAGUGGCGAAGGCGACUUACUGGACUGUAACUGACGCUGAGGCGCGAAAGCGUGGGGAGCAAACA
rnacentral:rRNA from 1 species